UGCAGUAUGAGGAAUCCAUGAUGAUCCGGUUGAAUGUGUCGAAGACGCGGAGGGACAAGGGGAGGCGAUCCCUGGCGAUGACCUCCCAGCUCGGAUCCCUCACCCAUUUCGGGAACAUCUCCGUCCUGACCGGAGGGGCUGGGAACUCGAAAUCCGCACCAAGGCCAAAGAAGAGGAAAACUGUCCGGAAACACAAGGGCAAAGCGUUCCGAAGGAGACUGUGAAAUGGGAGUGACCCCAGGAACCGCCAGUGGAACACCUCCUCGACUGUCUCCUCACCCUCCUCUCCCCUCCCUCCCUCUCCUCUCCCCUCUCUCCCUCCCUCCCUCUCCUCUCCCCUGCCCUCUCCCCUCCCUCUCUCACACCCCCCCCCCCCCCCCCUCCCACGUCUGAGUCCCUGCGGAGCGAUGGAUUGACGUUGCCCUGACCUGCAGGGUGUUGAGAUCUGCUCUGGGUCAAUAAAACGUUUUCGAUUCGA